rnacentral:rRNA from 1 species
UACGUAGGGUGCAAGCGUUGUCCGGAAUUAUUGGGCGUAAAGAGCUCGUAGGUGGCGUGUCGCGUCUGCCGUGAAAGCCCAUGGCUUAACUGUGGGUCUGCGGUGGAUACGGGCAGGCUGGAGGCUGGUAGGGGCAAGCGGAAUUCCUGGUGUAGCGGUGAAAUGCGCAGAUAUCAGGAGGAACACCGGUGGCGAAGGCGGCUUGCUGGGGCCAGUUCUGACGCUGAGGAGCGAAAGCGUGGGGGAGCGAACAGG